rnacentral:rRNA from 1 species
UACAGAGGGGGCAAGCGUUAUUCGGAAUUACUGGGCGUAAAGGGCGCGUAGGCGGCCUUCUAAGUCAGACGUGAAAUCCCCCGGCUUAACCUGGGAACUGCGUCUGAUACUGGGAGGCUUGAGUAUGGGAGAGGGAUGUAGAAUUCCAGGUGUAGCGGUGAAAUGCGUAGAUAUCUGGAGGAAUACCGGUGGCGAAGGCGGCAUCCUGGACCAUUACUGACGCUGAGGCGCGAAAGCUAGGGGAGCAAAGCGGG